AGCAGCCGCGGUAAUUCCAGCUCCAAUAGCGUAUAUUAAAGUUGCUGCAGUUAAAAAGCUCGUAGUUGAAUUUCGGGACCAAUAUGUCGGUCGUGCCUCGGUACGUACUGGCAUCGUUGGUUUCUCCCUUCUGACGAACCAUGAUGUCAUUUAUUUGGUGUCGUGGGGAAUCAGGACUGUUACUUUGAAAAAAUUAGAGUGUUUAAAGCAGGCUCACGCUUGAAUACAUUAGCAUGGAAUAAUGAAAUAGGACGUUUGAUUCUAUUUUGUUGGUUUCUAGGAUCGACGUAAUGAUUAAUAGGGAUAGUUGGGGGCAUUAGUAUUCAAUUGUCAGAGGUGAAAUUCUUGGAUUUAUUGAAGACUAACUACUGCGAAAGCAUUUGCCAAGGAUGUUUUCAUUAAUCAAGAACGAAAGUUAGGGGAUCGAAGACGAUCGGAUACCGUCGUAGUCUUAACCAUAAACUAUGCGACUAGGGAUCGGAUGAUGUUAGUUUUUAAUGUACUCAUUCGGCGCCUUAAC
rnacentral:rRNA from 1 species